UGCGGGUCAGUCGGCGCUGUACAUGGCUGCUCAGAAUGUACACCUGGAAGUGGUCCAACUCCUCCUUGAAACAGACGCUGACCCCCAACAAGCCAGCUGACAGCAUCUCUAUAUCCUGUCCUCUAUACUCAGCUGUAGAUGCUGGACACACAGAGAUGGUGGAGUUGCUGGUCCGGGAAGGGGCAGAGGUCAACGGAACAUACACAAGACACUAUGGCUCCAAGAGAUCCUGCCUUCAUCAGGCUGCUCUUAAGGGGCAUACCCAGACCAGAGCAGCCGAGCAGGAGCCUCUCCAGACCAGAGCAGCCUAGCAUGAGCCUCUCCAGACCAGAGCAGCCGAGCAGGAGCCUCUCCAGACCAGAGCAGCCGAGCAGGAGCCUCUCCAGACCAGAGCAGCCGAGCAGGAGCCUCUCCAGACCAGAGCAGCCGAGCAGGAGCCUCUCCAAACCAGAGCAGCCGAAUGGGAGCAUUCUCACUGGAGAGGAGUUAUGUGGACUGUUGUGUGAGGGCCUCAGUCAGUUAUUCUAUGCUUCCUACUGGCUCCCCCCACUACUGCAGGCAGGACUGGAGCCCUCCCUACUUCUGCAUCCAGCAUCUAACAU
rnacentral:lncRNA from 1 species